rnacentral:rRNA from 1 species
CUGCGCUCACCUGCGAACGCGGAUGGAUACUGGGCGACUAGAGUGUUGGUAGAGGGUAGAGGAAUUCCUGCUGUAGCAGUGAAACUGCGUAGAGAUCAGGAGGAACACCCGUGGCGAAGGCAGUUCCUGCCCCCACCUCUCACACUCAGGCGCGAAAGCGUGGGGGCGCAAAACAGGAAUAAGAUACCCUGGUAGUCCCCGCCCCUAAACGAUGCGAACUGGAUGUUGGGUGCAAGUUGGCUCGCAGUAUCGAAGCUAACGCGUUAAGUUUCUCCCCCUGGGGAGUGCGGUCGCAAGAUUGAAACUCAAAGGAAUUGACGGGGGCCCGCACAACCGGUGGAGUAUGUGGUUUAAUUCGAUUCAACGCGAAGAACCUUACCUGCCCUUGACAUGCACAGAACUUUCCAGAGAUGGAUUUGUGCCUUCGGGAACCGGAACACAGGUGCUCCAUGGCUGUCGUCAGUUCGUCUCGUGAGAUGUUGGGUUAAGUCCCGCAACGAGCCCAACCCUUGUCCCUAGUUGCCAGCACGUAAUGGUGGGAACUUUAAGGAGACCGCCGGUGACAAACCGGAGGAAGGUGGGGAUGACGUCAAGUCAUCAUGGCCCUUUCGGCCAGGGCUACACACGUACUACAAUGGUAGGGACAGAGGGCUGCAAGCCGGCGACGGUGAGCCAAUCCCAGAAACCCUAUUUCAGUCCGGAUUGGAGUUUGCAACUCGA